rnacentral:rRNA from 1 species
UGGGGAAUAUUGGACAAUGGGCGGAAGCCUGAUCCAGCAACGCCGCGUGAGGGAUGACGGCCUUCGGGUUGUAAACCUCUUUCAGUAUCGACGAAGCGCCGAUGAUGGUGGUGACGGUAGGUACAGAAGAAGCACCGGCCAACUACGUGCCAGCAGCCGCGGUAAUACGUAGGGUGCGAGCGUUGUCCGGAAUUAUUGGGCGUAAAGGGCUCGUAGGCGGUUUGUCGCGUCGGGAGUGAAAACCCAGGGCUUAACUCUGGGCUUGCUUUCGAUACGGGCAGACUAGAGGUAUGCAGGGGAGAACGGAAUUCCUGGUGUAGCGGUGAAAUGCGCAGAUAUCAGGAGGAACACCGGUGGCGAAGGCGGUUCUCUGGGCAUUACCUGACGCUGAGGAGCGAAAGUGUGGGGAGCGAACA